UCUACCAUUCCUCUCUCAAAGAAGAAAAGGUUGAAUCAUGCUACAUAACAAUCAUUCUCUCUUAAUUCUAAAUAAGAGAACAUGACAUCCUACGUGCAUAUUUAGUUGUUGCUGUUUUCAACCUUACCAAAUUUUGAUAUUGCCAAAGUUUGGUAAGGCAACAAACUAAACACACUUCAACCAUUACUAUCUUAUUAAAUUUUGGCAGCUCUAGAAGCUUCUUUUCUUAAAACUCUACUAGAAUUUGGUAAAGACAUCAAACUAAACAAAGCCAACGCUACCGAAAUGUAGUAAUGCCAAAGUGUGCCAAAAUUUAGCAUGGAAGAUGGUGUACCUAAUUUGUUAGUCUGAACUGAAAUUCUAUUAUCGUACAGUUAAUUCUUCUAGGCAUCAAUGUUUAUUUUUUGGAUGUUUGCAUCAUAACCUGAGUACGGGCAGUUCCUGAUAUAUGGGACAAGACUCAAAAUAUCAGGUAAAUCAUCCUCAUAACACAGGAUUAUUGGACACCUCUAGAUAUAAUAAGCAGCAAAUCUCAAGGACACAGCCUUGAAGCAGCUUCAUCUCAGUAUUUCACUACACUACUACAGGCAUCGUGGUCAUGGCUGCUAUUCCAACUUCAACAUCUCCAGUCUGUUCUUUCCAUCAAGCUGUUGUGUGAAGAAUUGUGUCAUGAAAUCAAGGUAACUAAUUGAUCUGUAAUUCACUUUACCAUCUUUCACAAAUUCCGUCAGAGGUCUGAUCACCAUAUUCUCACACGGAUAGUGGAACAGUGAUGCUGAAAUCCGCUCCUUAUUUGGGUUUAUCACGGCCCUGUGCUCAACACUUCUGAACUUUCCGUUACUUAGGAUCUGUACAUAUCAAUAGCACAUCACUCACAUCAGUACAAAGGUGCAAGAGAGGUAGGCCAUCCAACAACAAUUUUCAGAAGCUUUUAGGUACGUUCUUUCUUCUUUGGUGCUUCCACAAGUUCUUUUUUUUAGAUAAUGGAAGCUUUUAUUGAACUCAUCCAGUUACAUCAAAGUUCUUUGACAAGUGAAAGCAUAAUUAGUUCUUGGUCGGUACCUCAAGUGUGUCGCCAAUGUUAACGAUGAAUGCACCAUUCGGAGCGUCUACGGAUAACCACUUGCCAUCUUUCUUGAUCUGCAGGCCCUGCACGUCGUUAACCUGGAGCAGCAGUGUUAGGCCAACCACAUCAGAGUGCGGCGAAAUGCCCAUCACCUUGUCAGAUUGCAGGCACGGUGGGUAGUAGGUCAUCCUUAAGCCUCGAGGCUGCUCUUCAAAUAUGCCUAAAAGAGCCUCUGGCUUAGCGCCCACAGCCUUAGCCAUGAACUCAAACAAGCAGAGUGCCAGGCUUUUAGUCUCUGAUGAGUAUGCAUCAAGGGAUCGCCUAUUUCCAGACAUCUCCAGUUAAGAAGAGACAGAUGCCUAUCAAAAGCUAAAUUACACAUUUUAUUUGGGUAGAUCACCUGAAAGAUGCAGGGGAAGUCGGCCAGAACCUCAAGUCCCUUGAAUCGCUAGGAUGGACUUGAAGAUACAGCAUGUCUGCCCAGUCAAGUUUCUGGUCCUCGGAGAAAACGAGGGCCUGUCCAUAGCCUUCGAGGCUGUUGGGUAGCUGUGUGUACUCCUUCUUGGCGUCCAGUGGCUGGCUGAAGAAAUCAACAAUGUCUCUCUUGAGGUUUGCAAUCACUUCAUCUGGCACUCCAUGGUUGAUGAGCUGUAGUUUAUUCCAUAAGUAAUGCUUCAAAUAUAUUAGUUGUACAGCUCAAACUGAGCUAGAUCUACUUACAGUACAUGAAUUUAUUCAUUUUCUUCCCACAACUUAAUUUAUCAUCUGUAGUAUCCUUAAUCAAUUUAAACAUUUGUAUAUGCAGUAUGCAUUUGCAAAUAGGUAUCUGUUGCUUUCUGAAGAUGAAAUGCCAAGAACCUAAAGUUACAUACCUGAAAGAACCCCCAAUACUGGCAGGCAGAUCUCAGCUUCACACAUUCUUCUGAUGAUUGCGGAGAAAGCAACUUAUUGAGAUCGAUGAUCGGAAUCGCCUCACCAUGGUAGUUGCUGAUGACCUCCUCAGAACUAGCCUCUGGCCUGAUGUAUCUUUCAGGUAUGUGUUCAUCUGGACCAUUGCAAGUUUUUGCAAGCUCCUGCACAUUAGGCACUGGGAGAGAACCAAUGGCUCUUGCUCCCGCCAUUGAAAUUCCCAAGUUUCUGCAGCAAGUGUUUUCUUUCCUUUUUUUGGGCUAGCAGUUGUUGUAGGUUGCAUAUUGCAUGGAUAUCCACAUAUAUAGACCUUCAGAAGAACACACUUUGACUGUACGGUUUAGUGUUUAUCUUUCCAGGUGUUUACACUUUACACUAGCUAAAUUUUAGCAUAAGAGGAACACAUCUAUGUUUAAAGCGAUAUAUAUCAUAGAUGUGGAAGGCAGUGUCACCAACCACCCAAUCAACAGACAAAGAUCAAGUCUCUGAUCCUGACUGAUAUACCUGCUUCAAGCUCUCCAAUUGUACACCAUCUUCCAUCUUCUUGUGAAAAGAGCCCUUGCAAUUUUCUCAUCUAGUGUGCCUAGCCUGUCGUCAGCGACGACUAACCGUGGAUAAAAGGUGGAUGAUGCAGUAAAAGUCCCUCUUUCUCAAAUGCCGAUCAACUUGUAUGAUGUGAACAGUUAUAUCAUUCCUCUCCAGAAAAAAGAAAAGGUUGUAUCAUGCUACAGAACAAUCAUUCUAUCUUAAUUCUUAAUAAGAAGAUAUUCCCAUUUCUGGAUAGUGUCUAAAUUGGUAAUCAAACUCCAACACUAUUUCAUAAAUCGUACCCCAAAAAAAUUCCAUUCUGAAAUACCGGAUUAUGAACUAACAACAAGGCUCAGACACAUGCCCAGGUUUACCACGUAUACUCUUUGAGUUGAUUUCACAAGAUUAAUCAAGCUUCGUAUCUCUUUUGGUUAUUUAUUUUACAACUUUCAAGUGGUUAGCCUAAAGUUAAGAAAAAAAAUAUGUUUAUAUUUAGGACAUAAUACACACUUUGAACGUGACGUCAUUUUUUAGUGUGUAAUUUUUUAAAAAGGAAAUUAAGACGAGUGAUCAAAGUGAGAAAAUAAAUAGUGUCCGUACCGGUUCUUUUUCUUUUUAAUGGAGGGAGUAGUCACUUUUCCCCUGCAGGGUCUCAUAUAGAUGAGGCAAAUUUUGCUACGUGUGGUUUUAGCCUUACGACACUGCCUAAACUCACUUUUGGGGAAAACACUCCAUAAACGUGGUAAUUUGACAGUAGACACUGCACCGAUUAAAAUAAUAAUUUCUGGUUGAGGAGGAGAGAGAAAUCAUGUGAAAUGUCAAAAAUGCCCUUAGGCCCACAUGUCAUCUCUCCUAUCUCUCUUCUCUUUCUAUCCCCUCCUUCCAGCUCGUCCGCAAUGGCCUCCACCGCACCUCCCGCUUCCACGACGCCAUGCGGACCAUCCACGCCGUCGUGGCGGUGGCUGGCGAUGAAGGGGUGGCGCAGCGAGGCGAGGAUGGUGCUCGACCGGACGUCGGACACCGCCGGCCGAGGCUGAGCAGCGGCUGCAGGAGAUCGAGGACGUCGUCGCCGCCAGCUCCGUCGGCGGCAACGGCGGCGGUGCGCGGAAGGAGGUGGCGACCAAGCCCGGCAUGCAGCGGGUGCUCACCAUCGUGCUGAUGCUGCAGUUCUUCCAGCAAGCCUCCGACAUCGACUCCGUGGUACUGUACGGCCCGGGCGUGCUCGCCGCCGCCGGCGUGACGCCCAACACCCUCCUCCUGGGCCUCAACGUGGUGUUCGGCGUCGCCAAGGCGAGCUCCAUCCUCAUCGCCAUGGCGCUCACCGCCCGCGUGCGGCGCCGUCCUCUGCUUCUCGCCAGCACGGGCGGCAUGACCGCCUCUCUCCUCGUGCUCGGCUCGGUGUUCGCCGCGUUCGGCGGCGCGAGGGACGACGCGGCGGUGGCCGCCGUCGCCGUCGCUGUGGUGGUGGCGUUCGCGUGCGCGUUCUCCGUCGGGAUCGGGCCGUUGGCGUGGGUGUACAGCUCGGAGAUCCUGCCGCUGCGGCAGCGCGGGCAGGGCGCCAGCGUCGGCACCGCCAUGAACCGCGUCACGUGGUCACCAUGACGUUCGUCUCGCUCUACGGAGCCAUCACCAUGGCCGACGCAUUCUACCUCUACAUCGCCAUCGCCGUGCGUCGUUCGUGUUCAUCUACGCCUGCCUGCAGACACUAGAAGGAGGGGGACAGAGAGAAGAGAGAUAGGAGAGAUGGCACGUGGGUCCAAGGGUAUUUUUAACCUUUCACGCGAUUUCUCUCUCCUCUUCAACUGAAAAUUAUUAUUUUAUUCAGCGCGGUGUUCACUGGCAAAUUACCACGUUUAUAAAGUGUUUUCCCUCGUAAGUGAGUUUGUGCAGUGUCCUAGAGCUAAAACCACAUAUAAGCAGUAUCCUAUAGCAAAAUUUGCCCCCAGAUAAUAGUUCGGAGCGUUUUACAGUAAUUACUACUUUAUUGAAGCUGGUGUUAAGAGGCAAACUUCCAUGUCUGUUUCAUCAAACUGAACAUGUUCAACGCAGUUUACAGGCAUAAGCUAAUUAUGCAUAAAGCUUGAUGCCUGAAUACAUUAUUCUUCACGACAUAUAUUUCCUAUAUCCCAAAUUUUUUAAAAAAACAUAGUACACGAUGUAACAUUUUCUAAUUUAUGGUACUAUGAUGUAUCAUAUAUGUACUAUGUUUAUUUAUUUUAGGAUGAAGAGAGUAGAUAGCAGAUACAGUAAGUAGGACACAACCUGAAAGCAGGUUCUUCUUAUAAAAUUGUUACAUGCAUCAUGGUCGAUGGCUACGGUUCCAGCUUCAUUUUCUUUAGCCGGUUCCUUCCAUCAAGCUCUGCUGUGAAGUACUCUGUCAGCAAAUCCUGGUAGCUUAUUGUUUUGUAUUUCACUUUACCAUCUUUCACAAAGUCCGGCAGAGGGCUGAUCACCAUAUCCUGGCACGGAUAGUAGAACAGUGCCGCUGAAAUCCUCUCUCUGCUUGGAUGUACCACGGCCCUGUGCUCAACACUUCUGAACUUUCCAUUACUCAGGAUCUGCACACAUCAACAGCGCACAUCGACCGUACUUGUACAUCAGAAAAACAUGUUGAUCCAAAAGUUGAGCAUCAGCGGCUUUGAUUGUCUACUCAUUGGCUUAUCGGCCACAACCAAAAUGAUUUUGUACUGAUCAUUUGUUUUAAGCUAUUUGUUAAAUUUAUUUCUUAAAAAUAUUUUGAUUCACAAUAAAAUAAUCUGCCUAAUAUCCUAUAUCAAACGGGAUUAGUUCUUUUUUUUUAAAUAACUAGAAAAAAUGCUCGUGUGUUGCAACUGGUGGAGUCUAUUUUAAUAUUAUUAUUGUUAUAUGGUUUAGUUAAGAUGAAAUUUAUUGUGGGAGUUCGUUUGGAUAUAUAUAUAUAUAUAUAUAUAUAUAUAUAUAUAUUUAGAAAAUCAUGAGCUGCAGUUAGGAGUCCGAUCACCUCAUGUUAGCAUGCGAGUUUUUUAAACAGAUUUCUUAUAUUAUUCCUUCUGUAUUAUCAAAAGUGAACUAUCUUAAAAACCGACUCAAAUACGGAUAUGUAUUUCCAAAAGCGAACGAACUUAGAAACUGACUCAUACAUGGAUGACGCACCAAAAUACCGGGAAAAAUAUCUUCAACUUUUAUAAUAGUAUAAAGAUAAAAGCUUUAUUUAACUCAUGAAAUUACAUCGAUACGAUACAAUUGCCCCGAGAACGGGAUUAGUCAUUACCUCAAGUGUGUCGCCAAUGUUAACGAUGAGUGCACCAUUCAGAGCAUUCACGGAGAACCAUUUGCCAUCCUUGUUGAUCUGCAGGCCCUGUACAUCAUUCACCUGGAGAAGCAGUGUCAAGCCACCUGGAUCAGUGUGCGGUGACAAACCCAACACCUUGUCAGCUUUCAAGCACGGUGGAUAGUAGUUCAUCCUCAAACCCCUAGCUUGCCCUUCAAAUACACUUAACAACGACUUCGGCUCAACACCAACGGCCUUGGCCAUGAAUUGCAGCAGGCAGAGUCCAAUAUUUUCUGUCUCUGAUGAGUAUGCAUCAAUGGAAUGCCUAAUUUUCAGAUAUUUCAAGUUAAUAAAUGGACAUAUGUAUGCUUUAAAAGUUAUAAUGAACAUAUGCUUAUCAAUGGAGUAAUUAGUUGCAUAAUAAUUUGUCGGUAGUAUCACCUGAAAGAGGCAGGGUAAUUGGGCCAGAAUCUCAAGUCCCUUGAAUCGGUAGGACAGACUUGAAGGUAUAGCAUGUCUGCCCAGUCUAGUUUCUGGUUGUCGGACACAACGAAGGCCUGUCCAUAACCUUCAAGGUUAUUGGGCAGCUGUGAGUAUUCCUUCUUGGCAUCCAGUGGCUGACUGAAAAACUCAACCAAGUCGUUCUUGAGAUUUGCAAUCACUUCAUCUGGCACUCCAUGGUUGAUGAGCUGUAGUUUUUGUUGCAUAAGUAAUGCUUUUGUUAUACUAUUUGCACAUCUCAAACUGAGCUAGAGCUACUGUCAGUACAUGUAUUUUUCUGGCAUCAGCUUAAUUGAAUUACUAGGUGAUUCUCCGCGCUUGGCUACGGGAAUUACUAAACAAUUUUCAAUAUCUUUUUUGACAAUCAAGUUAGGAGUAAAAAGAACAAAAAUAAUGAAGCAUCAGGGUUUAUCAGUCAAAUAAUACCCGUGCUUUAGUGUGAAACAUAUUGAUAAGUAUAUGUUAAAUAUUGUAAAAGUGAUAGAUAGAUUUGUUAAAAUAUUAUGCAAAUGAUAUGAGGGGUGAUGAUUGGAUAUGCUUUCAUUUUGAUUUGUAGAAUUAAAUAAAUUAUAGAACAUGUUGUAAGCUUGCACGAGAUUAAAUAUGUAAUUAUUGCUAGUGGGUGAUGAUGUGGUAUGGUUGCAUGUUGAGCUUUAGACUUAGUGAGCUUUAACUUUAUAAAAAGCAUAGAUUACUACCUCUAAUGUCUUAACUAAUCUACGUUUUUUUUUCAGAGUAGGAUUUUUACAACUCGAGUGCAUGUGCCCUCAUAUUAUGCAUGCCAAUUAAGUUAUAUAUCGCUCUAUAAACAUGCAAAACUAAAUUCAAUCUAUACAUCCUUACAACCUAAAGUACAAAUUUUGUUAUGAAUAUUAAUUUAGUAUGUAAUCAAUUGUUUUAAAUUUUCUUAAGGCUAUUUAGGUGACUCUAUUCGUAAACUGACUUUCCCCUCUUUUUUUCCCACGAAUAUUGCUAGAUGUACUUAAAAAAUUUAUUACAUAACUCUUACAAACAAUAAUAUCAACCGUUUAAUUUAAUUAGAUGGGAUUUCCAAAAUAUCGUACUCACCACUGUGUUAGUAGUAAGAGUUUAGUAAGAAUAAAAUAGUACUUAUAGCUAGCCAAUUCCAUUUUUACCUAUUACUCUUCAAGAGCAAAAGCCAAGAACUUAAAGUUGCAUACCUGAAAGAACCCCCAAUACUGGCAGGCAGAUAUCAGCUUGACACACUCCUCUUGUGAUGAUUGAGGAGAAAUCAACUUGUCGAGAUCGAUGAUCGGAAUCGACAUAUCACCGUGGUUGUUCUUGAUGACCUCGUCGGAACUAACUUCUGGCCUGAUGUAUCUUUCAGGUAUCUCCUCAUCUAUGCCAUUGCAAGUUCCUGCAAGCUCCUGCACAUUAGGCACCGAGAUAGAACCAAUGGUUCUUGCUUCUGCCAUUGCUAACUCAUCCUAUGGCUGUGGUUCUCCUUUUUAUUAUUUUUGGCUAGUGGCCGAUGUCUAUAAAGAGAAAAUUCGAUUGGUGGCACAACUAUUGUACUGUCAGAAAAUAGCACAAAAAGUCCAUCCCUCCGUCUGAAAGAACAAGUCCGUCAGAAUUUUCCGAUUUAUAGUAAUUCUUGUUGAAUAGUCCCACAUUGAUUAUUGAAGGGCAAAGUACCUAAUAUAUACCCCUUCAGUUCCACAUUAAUUGACGUUUUGAACAAGGUUGAGAUCAAACUUUUAUAACUUUGACCGUCAAUAACUUAAAAAAUAUUUAGUUUAAAGGAACUAGAAAAACAUAUAUAGAUUUGUCUUUCAAGACACUAUAAUAAAAAUAAGCAUACAUUUAUUUAUUAUAUAUAUUAUAAUAGAAAAUAUGGUCAAAGAUAUAUUUUGUAGACCGUGUCAUUGUCUAAAACGUCAAUUAAAAUGAAACCGGAGAGAGUAAGUGAAGAAACUUCUUACCUCAUUGACUAGCUUUUUGGGUAAAAAAGACCAUUUAUGAUCCUACAAGUGGUAUCAGAGUUUGGCUAGUUCAAUAUCUCUCAUAUUGGUUAUCUUUGACCUGAGAGACACCAAUGUUGUGAAGGGGGGAUUGUUGAAUAGUCUCACUCGAGAACAGUUGCCUUCGUGUAGAGCCUUGUUGCUUGUUGUGUGCGAGCUCCUAACGCUAUUGGCUUGAGUUCUUUCAUGCUAGUGUGCUCAACCCGUUGCUUGUUGGGCACUGAACACUUUUCAAGUAGGGAUAAGUGGAGGGGCCCAUCAUCUCAUUGGGUAGCUUUUGGGUUGGAAAUGCCCUUUACAAUCCUAUACUUCCGUCUUGUUUUACCGUAACCAUGGAAUCAAGGACAAAAUUGCCCUCACUAUCCCUUGCGGUCUUCUCGUUGAGCGGUGCCACGUUGCAGUCGCCGGAGCCGGUCGCGGCGGCACAAAACGUGGGCGGUGGCGAACAUGGGUCGAUGUCACAGUACCGUUGUACACGCGAGGAAAUUGGCAGUGGCGUGUCCGAUGGAUUCAGAUUGGGUGACAUAGGGUAAGCAUGUCACGAGGUGACAUAGCGUGAAUCUCGGCCAUCCAAAACAAAUCCAACGGCUGAGAUUCGUCCACGUCAAGCCACGUUAAAAUUUAACUCGCAGAUUUACUCUGAAGUAAAAAUUUUACUUCAGGAGUUUAAAAUUUCAGUAGUUCUGAGAGUUAAAUUUUAACUCGUGAUAACGUGGACGAAUCCCAGCCGUUGGAUUUAUUUUUGAUGGCCGAGAUUCACGCUAUGUCACCUCGUGACAUGCCUACCCUAUGUCACCCAAUCUAAAUCCGUGUCUGAUGGUGGUGUGGUGCGCCACUAGUACAGAUCCUUCUAUCUGUGAUGGGCUCUAAUAUGUUUAGAAAUAGCGGGCCGUCACAAGGAAGUCAUCUCAAUCGGGCCGAAAAGUGCCCGAUUGAGAUAUGGUCGCACAGACAUGUUAGAUGGGCAUAAAACUUAAGCCCGUCACGGAUGACACCUAUCAGUGACGGGCCACAACUUUAGGCCCGUUUGAGAUAACAUUCCAUAUCUCAAACGGGCUUCAAGUUAUGGCCCGUCACAAAUGACCAUCAUCUGUGACGUGCACCAACUUGAGGCCUGUUUGAGAUAACAACUAGGCCCGUCACAGAUGACUCAUCAGUAACGGGCUAUAUACUUAAUCUCUAUCGGGCAUUAACUAAAGCCCGUCACCGAUGACUAUUUUUCUAUUUUUUAUAUGAAAUGUUUAUAUUUGUAAGUUGACUAUAGCAAAAUAAUUUAGUGCAGUAUAAUAAUUCAUUUUAUGAGUCAAAAUAAUUUUACGGGUAGUAAAUGAUUUCAAAUAGAAAAAUGUCAACAACAAAGUUGUAUAACUUAUCAGUAUUUAUAACUUUUAGUUUGGUCAUUUUUCAAUAUAACAUUUUUUUAACAGUUUGAAUUUGAAUUUAAAAAUAUGACAACUUCAAAUAACAUUUUCAAAUACUAAAUGAUUUCAAUUGAAAAAGUCAUCAACAACAAAGUUGAAUAACUCAUCAAGAUCUAAAACUUUUAUUUUUGUUAUUUCUUCAUCCGACGAAAUGUUAGUAAUAUUAUUCACAAAUUUUGCAUAUAUGUGUUAUAGUUUAUAAAACCAGAUAAGAGAUAUGUCAAUUUUGUGAACAAUGUUACUAUCACUUUGUCGUAUUAAGAAAUGACCAAAAUAAAAGUUUUAGAUCUUGAUGAGUUAUUCAACUUUGUUGUUGAUGACUUUUUCAGUUGAUAUCAUUUAGUAUUUGAAAAUGUUGUUUGAAGUUGUCAUAUUUUCAAAUUCAAAUUCAAACGGUUCAAAAAAUGUUAUAUAGAAAAAUGACCAAAAUAAAAGUUAUAGAUUUUGAUGAGUUAUACAACUUUGUUGUUGAUGACUUUUUCAGUUGAAGUCGUUCACUGAUCUAAAAUUCUAUUUGAACUUUUCAAACUUUGAAUUUCAAAUUUCGAAUUGUUUAAAUAGAGUCAGAUGGAGAAAUGACCAAAAUAAAAAUUUUGCACCUCGAUGAGUUCUACAACUUUGGUUUUGGUGACUUUUCCAUUUGAAAUCAUUUAAUAACCCUAAUUUGACAUCCUGGCUUAGGGCAUAAUAGGAUUAAUAUAAUAUUCAUACCAACAUGUUACAACUACUUUUCCGGAAGCUAAUCUCCAAAGAACUUUAACGUUAAGUGUGCUUGGUCUAGAGCAAUUUUAGGAUGGGUGACCGACAAUUUAUUUAUUUUUGGAUUAUACUCAUAUGUGAUGGGUUAUAGUUAAUGCCCAUCACAGAUAAGGGUCGUCUGUGACGGGCGCUAGUUGUGCUUCGAUGAUGAGGGUUUCCGUUCUAGUGCGCCACAUCGUACAUCAUGUCGCGCACGUCAAUCCGAUUUUCUCGUAUAUAAAUGUCAUCAUCGUGCUCUGAUCCUGACCCUAAUGCUUUCAAAGUCAGCUUCGCACCCUCGUGCCAAAAUAUCUAGCUUCCUGUUCAUUCCGUAUCUAUCUCUCCGUUUCAAAAAAUAUAAAUUAUUAUAUUUUGGAUGACCAUUUCAAGGGUGUUGUUGCUGUUGACUUGCAGCACAUAAAGAGCGCUGAUUUGAUCCAUAUUAUCACCAACAUCCGAAGCUACAUUGUCUAUUUUGUUUGUGAUUUAGGCCUGAUUUAGUUCCUAAAUUUUUUUUUCUAAAAACAUCAUAUCGAAUAUUUAGACACAUGCAUGAACCAUUAAAUAUAGAUAAAAAGGAAAGUAAUUGCCCAGUUAGUAUAGAAAUCGCAUGACGAAUUUUUUAGCCUAAUUAGUACAUGAUUAGCCAUAAGUGCUAUAAUAACCCACAUGUACUAAUGACGGAUUAAUUAGGCUCAAAAGAUUCGUCUUGCGAUUUCCAGGCGAGUUAUAAAAUUAGUUUUUUCCAUUCGUAUCUGAAAAUCCCUUCCAAAUUCCGAUCAAACGUCCGAUAUAACAUCCAAAAAUUUUCUUUUCGCGAAUUAAACAAGCCCUUACCUUCAACCUCAACAUCUAUACUGAAGGCUCGGUGUAACGUGUUGUAGAAAACAAAAGAUGUCAACGCCUUCCUAGCGUCAUCGGUGAUGCUAGGCCAUCGUGUCCAUUGUCUCACCACUCACCCACUGCUAGGAAAAACAUUUUUGCAGACGGAUAAAACUAAUUUUCACAAGCGGAAGAGAGGUCCGCCUGCACCACAACGACUGCGAAAAUUAUCGAUUUUUGUAGUCAGGGCAACAGGCCCGCCUGCGAAAAUGGAAGAAACGAACAAAAAAAAAUCGCUGGCCCGCGCCGGGAGCCGCCGUCGCCACUCCACGCCGUCGGCGCCGCCGCCGGCCUCCCCCCUCCCUUCUCCGAUCAGAUCUGGGAGGGAGCGAGGGAGGGGAGCCGCCGCCGCCGCUGCCCGGCCCGCGCCGUCAUCGCCUCCGCCGGCCUCCCCCUCCCUCCUUCGGCCAAAUCUGGGAAGGAAGGGGAGGGGAGCCGCCGCCGCCGCCCGGCCCGCGCCGUCGCCGCUCCACGCCGUCGGCGCGCCGCCGGCCUCCCUCCUCCCUCCUCCGGCCAGAUCUAGGAGGGAGGGGGGAGGGGAGCCGCCGCCGCCGCCCGGCCCGCGCUGUCGGCGCCGCCCUCCUCCGUCACCCUCCUCGGCCGCGCCGCCUCGCCUCCUCGCCGCUGCCGCCCUUCACCGCCACCGCCCGCCGCGGCCGUCGGGAGCCGACGCCGGGGAGAGUAGAAGUGAGGGGAGGGGAGAGGAGGAGAAGGGAGGGGAGGGGCCGGUGGUGAGGAGAGGUGAGGGCCUGAGGGGAAAGGAGGAGAGGUGUGGAGGGGAGGACUGAGGAGAGGUGUGAGGACUUAGAAAAAAUUAGGGCCCGCAAGUGUAUUUAUAUUCAAGUGUAUUUUUGCAGGCGCCGCUUAAGUGGCGGACAUCAAAUUUCACCCUAUUUAUAUUUUUGUAGGCAGUUAUUUGACUCUAAGGGUUAUGUCCGCCUAUAAAAAUAAGACCCUUACGUCGGAAAAAAUACUUUUUCUAGGAGUGACCAGUAAGUAACCAGGGUCUAUGUCUGCAUGAGAGCUGCUAUACAUACAAUUUUCUCACGUACGACAAUCGUACGAAAGUAACGUUUCCAGUGAUAGCCUGUCACGCGUUUUUAGCCGUUUCCAAGCAAUACAACACAUCACGCUAACCAUCCGUUAGCAAUCGUACUAGGAUCGUACGAUGAAGAAAAUCGUAUGCAUCGGUGGCCACAGGGUAACGCAUAAAUAUUAUAGUUUUUUCUUUUUUUUUCUUAUGGAAAACUAAUACGACUAUCUAUUAACGGAGGGGGUGUAAGAUUAAUAAAUAGAACCUUGCAAAGACAUUUGAUUGAUUUCUUCAUGAAUGAGCAAUUAUGGUUUGUUAAAGUACCGUUGUUAUAAAAAAAAUUAGUUGUUUUAAUAGGUUUUUUUAAUUUUUAUUUUGAAAGUAUAUCCCUCAGUAUUUCAAAAUGAACCUUUCUAUCAUACCAUUGGAGAUGGCAAGGCAAGACAACAGUAUGCCGUCAUAAACAGUAGUGCUACAAUACCUUCCGUUCAUGGCAUGGCACUGGUAACUUUCCACGCCACUCGCGGUGGCGUAGCAAAAUUCUUGUCACACCGUAUUUUUUUUACUGGUGUGGAACUAAUUAAAUUGGUGUAGCAAAAAAUUUCAGAUCUAAACACAAGUUUUCGAAUGGUUUAAUUUUAAAAUUAAAUUAUAAAGAGUUUAAAAAAACUGUUUUUUUACAAGAGCAUCAGUAGCACCUGAGGUCCUAGGUUCGGCUCCCCAUGGGAGCGAAUUUUUCAGGAUUUAACAGCGUUGUGCUUUCAGUGGUAGGCAACGUACCCGUCGACAGCGAGGCGCCUGUGGUGACUUUGUUAAUUUCUCCAGGAUUUGCCAGCCGUCUUCGAAGAUGCUCAUAGGGGUAGGGUUUGCGUGCGUGUGUUCAUUGGGGUGAGUGCGCGUACGUUGUGAGUGUCUGCGUUGUACUGUGUAAUUCUAAAAAAAAUAGGAUUUUUUUAGUGUACCUCUGAAUGAAUAUGGACCAUUAAAGAGAUGAGAUCUAAGGGUGGAAAUUUGUUGCUACUACACCUAAUAUAAAGGUGUAGUAGUGUAGUAGAAGGGUAAUUGUGGAAAAAAAUCAUGUGGCAUUCUUGUAAAUUCAGUUUUUAUGUGGGUGUAUUCUGUAAUUGCGCUUCGGCUGAUGGGCCUCUCGAUGCAGGCCCACUCGUUCGUAGAUGGCCUCUAAAUUUCUUUAUGGCCUGUACUUGCUGAGAAUAUACGUGGAUAUUUUCAGAGAUUCACUGUUAAAUUACGUUCGGACACUAAAAAAUCGUGAGGUUUUUAAUAUUCGACAUUAUAUCCUAAAAUAGUAUUUGACCUUUAUUCUAUGCGCGGUUGACCGGAAAACCAUGUUUUUUAAAAAAAUCGACCCGGCUCGGAUGGUCCCAAGCUUAAUAGUUAUUUGUCGAAAAUAAUCCGUUCCGCUUUAUUCUAUGUGCAGUCGAUCGAAAAUCCAUAUUUUUUAAAAGUUGACCCGGUCCGGACUUAAUAGUUAUUUGUUCAAAAUAAUCCGUUCCGCUUUAUUUUUAAAAAUCGACCCGGUCGGGCUUGAUAAUAACUAGUUCCCGAAAAUAAUCCGUUCCGCUUUGUUUUUUAAAAUCGACCCAGUCGGGGCUCGAUAAUAACUAGUUCCCGAAAAUAAUCCGUUCCGCUUUAUUUUUUAAAAUCGACCCGAUCAGGUUUUAAUAAUAACUAGUUAUCCAAAAUAAUCCGUUCCGCUUUAUUCUAGGCACGGUCAACCGGAAAACCAUGUUUUUUUAAAAAGUUCCAACAAAUUACGUUCGGACACUAAAAAAACGUUUUGCUAUAAUAUAUGCACGCUCGACAGAAAAACCACUAUUUUUUAUAUUCGACCUGGUCCGGGUAGACCGGACGGAUUCCAGGCUUAAGCAAUUGCAUCCUAAAAUAAUAUUUGUCCUUUAUUCUAUGUGCGCUCGACCAAAAACCAUGAUGUUUUCUAUAUUCGCCCGGGUCUGGACACACUCAGACUUAAUCUUUUUUAUCCAAAAAAAAACCAUUUACACUUGACAGAAAAACCAUUAUUUUUUUAUAUUCGAUCCGGUCUGGGUAGACCGGAGGGAUUCCGGGCCUAACCAUUUGUGUUCUAAAAUAAUAUUUGUCAUUUAUUCUAUGCACGCUCGACUGAAAAAUCACUAGGUUUUUUUAUAUUCGACAUGGUCCGAACACACCCGAACUUAAUCUUUUUUUGUCAAAAAAAACUGAUAUGCUAUAAUAUAUGCGCGCUCGAUAGAAAAACCAUGAUUUUUUAUAUUCGACCUAGUCCGGGUAGAUCGGACGGAUUCCGGGUUUAACCAAUUGCAUCCUAAAAUAAUAUUUGUCCUUUACUCUGUGCAUGCUCGUCCAAAAAAAACACGAGGUUUUUUAUAUUCGAUCCGAUCCGGACACCCGGACUUAAUCCUUUUUUUAAAAAAAAAACCGUUAUGCUAUAAUAUAUUCUGUGAUAUAGUACACCCAAGUUUGAUUUAUUUAAAUAAUAGUAACCCGAGUUAUUUUUUUUCACGCGUAAAAUAGAGAAUAUAAUAGGCCUGAUUUUUUUUAUGUCGCUCUGCUCUGCUUACGCCAAACAUGGAGGUUGCAAAAUUGCAAUGAUCAAGAGCAGCUUGUGCAUGGUAAUUCUCUGUUGCAAAAUGCUUUUUCCUCGAAGCUGGUUAAUAAAACUGGAAAAAAAGUGCAUGAGUUAAGUAAAGAAAGUAACCCGUAAUCCUGAUGCUAUAGCAUGCUUCAAAAUUAUACCCUUGAAUGCCAAAAAAAGUACUAGUAAUAGGCAUCACUUAUAUUUGUCGAAGAACAAUAUUUUUUUUUUUUUUGAGAUCAGGUUAUUCAUUACCCAGCUUGAAAACCAAGCCAAAAGGAGACCACAGUCUUCUGAGUCUAAAGAGCUCAGUCAUCAAGAAACAAAAGGAAAAACGAGGAAACUAGAUGGCAGGGGACUCCAGCUACAUAUCAAGCGAAUAAAAUACCACUAACAAUAUAGAUAGCUAGGCCUCAGAAACCGGAACCCCUAACAAGCCCCCCCCCCCCCCCCCCCCAAAAAAAAAAAAAAAAAAAAAAAAAAAAAAANNNNNNNNNNNNNNNNNNNNNNNNNNNNNNNNNNNNNNNNNNNNNNNNNNNNNNNNNNNNNNNNNNNNNNNNNNNNNNNNNNNNNNNNNNNNNNNNNNNNNNNNNNNNNNNNNNNNNNNNNNNNNNNNNNNNNNNNNNNNNNNNNNNNNNNNNNNNNNNNNNNNNNNNNNNNNNNNNNNNNNNNNNNNNNNNNNNNNNNNNNNNNNNNNNNNNNNNNNNNNNNNNNNNNNNNNNNNNNNNNNNNNNNNNNNNNNNNNNNNNNNNNNNNNNNNNNNNNNNNNNNNNNNNNNNNNNNNNNNNNNNNNNNNNNNNNNNNNNNNNNNNNNNNNNNNNNNNNNNNNNNNNNNNNNNNNNNNNNNNNNNNNNNNNNNNNNNNNNNNNNNNNNNNNNNNNNNNNNNNNNNNNNNNNNNNNNNNNNNNNNNNNNNNNNNNNNNNNNNNNNNNNNNNNNNNNNNNNNNNNNNNNNNNNNNNNNNNNNNNNNNNNNNNNNNNNNNNNNNNCCCCCCCCCCCCCCACCCCAAAAAACAAAACAAAACAAAACAAAACAAAAUCAGAUUCAGGAGGAUCACACAGUUGCCGAAGUCGCGCCAAAUUCUCCAGGAUCACUUCCUUCCCCUUAUCGACUUGCCCUUGAUCGCCCUCAUUUAGCAACUCUUUCCAUCUUUGCAUCAGAGCAACGACCUUUUACACCACCUGCAAAGGAGAUUUGAUCAAAAUGUUUUCAAAAACCCAGUCAUUUCUAGUGAGCCAAAUCGUCCAAAUACACGCCGCAACUACAAACACGCCCAAGACCCUUCCCAAUUUCUUUUUAGCCAAGCGCGAAGCAUCCCCCAAAUUCCCAGGAACCAAAUCCAAGCCCACAGACUCUUUUAUUACACACCACACAACAUUAGCAAUAGAGCAAUUAAACAACACAUGGCUUGUUUCCCUUUUCCCACAGAGUUUACAGAAUCCAUCACCCCCUCCCCCCUCCCAGGCUCCCACUUCUUUUUGACCAAUUCCACAGAACAAGGAAUUUUCCCUCUCAAAGCUAAAAGACAGUUUUUAAUCUUAAGAGGUACUUUACUUUGCCACACAUCCUGCAUUUCUGCAUCAAUAACCCCUCCAAAACUUAACAAUCUAUACAUGGACCUAGCAUUGUACUCCCCCUUCCUCCCAGCAGGCCAAAUGAUCCUAUCACAGUCUGAAGUGAUGUCAACAGCCCUCAACUUAUUCUGAAGAUCCUGCAGCUCCAACAAACUCCCCCCACACAAAUGUCUUCUAAAACUUAGAUCCCAUUUCCCCCUGUCCCAGACCUGCCUAACAGUCUUCCCGCACUGCAAACUGACCCCAUACAGGCCUGGGUAUUGCACUCUAAGAGGAGUUUGCCCAUACCACACAUCCUCCCAGAACAAAGUAUAAUUCCCAUCCCCCACUUUUUUCUCCAUAAACAGUUGCACCCAUUUUUUACAGUAUGAACAAUAUGAAAAGAGAGCUAUCAAACAGGUGCCUCAUCGUCUUAGUAGAACAGGCACCCUGCAGACAAGUGCAGACAAGUGCCAGGAUAAAACGGUUUUUACACAGCAAAGCAACAGACGACAUAUUCACCAGUUAAACACGUUUCAGCAUUUCUCUCCGUACGCAUAAGAACUCUUCAAGCUUCUGUGCCUCAUCAGGCGUUUCUUUGACCGCCAUAAUGUUUCUUUCAACCUCCUCGCCCUAUCUCUCUGCGAAUUUACAAGUUGCAGGAAAAUCAAAUUUGAUUAUUGUAGAAUCUUCUGCCAUCACCAUAAUAUAUGCAUGGAUCACCUCACAACAUCACCACCAAUUCACCAUAACACAUGGAAAAGUACAAGAUCAACUUUAUCAUAUAGAGAAGUAUAUGCUACUGUACACAAUGUGCAUACUACAUUCACUGCUACAAUUUCUUGAAACUAACCAAGCUUAAGUUGUCAACUGUACAUUUGAGUUUAUUUUAGAAAUUCAUUACCAGUCCAAUUCAUUCUCUUAUUUGUCCCUGAAGCUCAUAUUUAUUUGUUGAAUGAUCGUAAUAUUUUUAGGUGCAAAUGAUUUAGAAAAUGUAAUACCUUGCCCUUUGCAGUAAUUCCCAGUGCAAUGGCCCUGUAGUCAUGUUAAAUGCACCGGGGUAGCAUAUCAAAUGAGCACCUGCAAUGAACAGAAGAGCCUUUGUGUAUUUUUACACUUCCAUCCAUUUCCACAUGAACAACAAACAACAGCAAGUUCUUUCUUUUAUGCAUUCACACAUGCCAAUAGUAACUUGGAAUCGGAAAAUGUAUGAAAGCACAACAGAACCGAUUACAUUUUACUAGCAGUUUUAGAAACUUGGAUAUGUAUCCAUUACAUGUACACGGUAGUUCAGUACUUGAUUAGUUGCCACGAAUCUAAUACAGUGAAAUUUUAUACUCCCUCCGUCAGAAGCAAAAUACAGCACCGAGGUAAAAAUUUUCAGAACGUGCUACAUUCACUGCUACAAUUUCUUGAAACUAACCAAGUUUAAAGUUAUUAAACAUGUAGCCAAAUAGUCUCUGGUCAAUUAUCAGCUAGUUUAUUCAAGAACUCACUGCAAAAGUUGUCAUAUUAUCAGCUUCAGACCUAGUACUAUAACGUUUUGAGAUUUCUGAACAAACAACAUUGCAACUUCAGAUUUUAUAUUUCAGAACAAGCACCAAUAAAUUUUCAGAUUCAUACCUAUUACCUAAGGUUUGAAAUUUCAGAACAACCACUAGUACAAGUUCAGAUUUGUAAAAAAAACAUGUUCGACUAUUCAAAACAUUACAAUUUCAGAACUUCAGUUUUCAGAAGGAAAUUUCAUAUUUCAGGACAUUGCUAGAAUUCAGAUUGACAGCAACUUCAGAUCAAUUAUAAGAUCAAUUUACACGCUAGCAGCUUACAGUACCAAUCUAACGACGUAUAUAGCAUCAAAUUAAAUCUAUCACAGAUCACACCAUUAAGAACAUUCCUUACUUUCUCUAAACAAUUGCACACAGCAGAACUUUAACCUAGUAACAUAAUAAAUUGAUUAUGAAAAUAGAUAAUCUUGCUCAAGAAGAGGUCUUCCGAAAGAAAAAUCCAAAGCAAAAUGCUUCAUUACCUGAAUCAAAUGCGUAGGUGUCGACUCCAAAUACAGAACUAAUGCAGGCAAGCGGUUAGCGAGGAGGAGGGAAGAAAGCCGGCUGCAGGGGAGGGAGGAGAGCCGGCCAGGGGAGGGCAGAGAGCUGGCCAGCGAGGAGGGCAGCGAUGUGACCGGGGGAGGGUAGACAGGCGGCCGCCGGGAGGGGAGGAGGGGGGCGGCGGCGACGAGGGCCGGGGGAGGGCAGCGAGGGGAGAGCAGCAAUGAGACCGGGGAAAGCGGAGAGGCGGCCGACGGGGAGGGCAACGACAUGGCCGGCGGCGAGAGUUUGAUUCUCACGGUGGAGGGGCGGCGCGCCGGCGGCACCGGGUCGCAGGGGAUGAGGGGAAGGUGGAGAUGGAGGAUACGCGACGCGCAGCGCAGAUGACGGCUGGAUGAGAGGAUUGCGGGACGUGAACAGGAAGAUUGGAACGCGAAGUUACCGUAAUACCCUUCCACCAAAAUUAAGAGAAAGACUAAAAUGUCCCGGAAAAUCAACGGUCGGAUAUGAUCCUACUAACACUAGAGAUAUUUAACCAUUUGCCACAUUUAGAUGUGGUAAUUAAUUUUUUGCCACUGGACCCACAUGUUAUAGACACAUGUGAACCCACAUGUCAUUGAGAUAGGGGUGGCAAAUAGUUAUUUGCCAAAUCUAAAAGUGGCAAAUAGUUAAAAGCCCCGAUUCACCAGGCUCUGUAUGACAGGAAAUCAACUAGAGAAGGCAAGUGUCGUUUAUAAGCAUAUUUAACUAGUUACAUGCACAAAUUUUGACAAUGAACCGUGUCUGAUAUAUAUGAUACAAUACCAGAAGAAACUAUGAGGUAAGUGAUACAUAUGAUACAAUACCAGGAUUAUUUGGAUCACUACAUAGGGGUUUAUUCGUGAUCUCUGCAUGACAUCAUCAAUUAAUAAAAGCCCUAGUGCUACCGAUUUUUUCAGAAUUUUGAAUUUUUUUUUAGCUCAUUGGAAUGGAUGCCACGUUGUCCUUUUCUGAAGCAGGGCUUCUCAAUUGGGUGAGGGGAACUAGCAGCACACCAUUCAAGCGGUCACGGUGCUGUUCCCCUUACGCAUGUGGUCCCCUUUUGUCCGGAUAUGGCGGUGGGUGCAUGCAUGCAUGCAGGACACGCGCGCAGCACACCCAUACAUCCCCGAAGAAAAAGGCGUGUGGUGAUAUUUUUGCAAAAGAAAACUCCUUGAAUUUACACUGAAUAGCGCAUAUACCCUCGAAUAUACAAUAAUAUUCCCUCCGUUUCAGGUUAUGAGAUGUUUUGACUUUGGUCAAAGUCAAACUUGACCAAAUUUAUGGAAAAAUAGUAACAUUUUCAACUCAAGACAAAUUUAUUAUGAAAAUAUAUUCAAUUAUUGAUUUGAUGACACUAAUUUAGUAAUGUAAAUAUUACUAUGUUUGUCUAUAUACUUAGUCAAAUUUAAAAUAGUUUGACUUUAAACAAAAUCAAAAUGUCUUAUAACCUAAAACGGAGGAAGUAACUAAUAGGUGAUAAAUAUGUAGUAGGACACAGCCCGAAAUCACCAUUUUCUUCCCAGAAUCUUGUCAAUGUUCCAACUGUAAUCUCUCUAGGCGGUUCCAUCCAUCAAGCUGCGACAUGAAGUAUUGGCUCAGGAAAUCACGGUAACUGAUUGAUCUGUAAUUCACUUUACCAUCUUUCACAAACUCCGGCAGAGGGCUGGUCAUCAUAUCCUUGCGCGCAUAGUUGAACAACGCCGCUGAAAGACGUUCUUUGUUUGGAUGUAUCACAGCCCUGUGCUCAACGCUUCUGAACUUUCCGUUACUCAGGAUCUGCAGAUGUUAAAUAGCACAUCACCUAUAUAUCAUCAGGAAAGAUGGUACAGAAGCAGACAAGUAGUGACAACUGAGGUUGUUGUCAGCAUCUCGAUAUAUACACUGAUCUGAUCUCACUGUAUAUCCAAUUUUAAUACUAUAUCUGUUCUAGAAUACUUGUCGCUUUGAGUUUUUAUUUGGAACUUUUGAUCUUUCGUCUUAUUCAAAACAUUAUGAAAUCAUUAUUUGUUUUGUUUGUGAUUUGUUUUAUUAUCAAAAAUAUUUUAAGUAUAACUUCUCCAUUUUUAUAUUUACACUUAUUUUUCAAAUAAGACGAAUGGUCAAACGUUAAAAAAAGUCAAAGCAACUACUAAUUUGGGAUGGAGGUAGUAGUACCCCUCAAAUUUUAGGGAAAAUUUGAACCAUGCCACACAAAUUUUGCAAAAUUUGUGAUAUGCCACCCUGACCCACAUGUCGUUGACUCAUGUGGGUCCUACAUAUCAUUGAGAUACGGGUGGCAUAUCACAAAUUUUGCAAAAUUAGGAUGGCAUGGUUCCAACAAACCCAUAAUAUUAUGUAAGAGUUCCCAUACAAUACAAUAAUAUGGUGGUAGGAUCUUACGCAUGAUUCCGAUUCUACGAUCCUACGUAAGUAUUAUGGUUCGUAUCAUGAUCUGAACUAAAUUACCCUUAAAGACAUGGUGGGUAACUUAUUUAAUUAACAAAUAGAUCAUUUAAAGAAAUAUCCAUAUAAGUGAAUGGUCAGAUUUUAUCCAUACUAGUAUCUCUUAUUGUGCACAGUAAAAGAACUCUCUUUAAAACAAAGGUGGAUUGAAAAUAAUGUUAAUAAGGAAGCUAAAGUUUAUAGAAUACCAUUUAAACUUAUUAAUAACAAUAUUUUUGCAGCAUACUACAAAUCUUUUUAGAAAAAUAUAUACUAUAUUUUAUAAAAUUUGAUAUGAUCCUACGACCCCGGUCUUACGAUACUAUCAAGGUAGAAAACAAUCCUACUUAGUAUCCUGAUCCUGACAAAUUAUCUUGGUGACAACACAGUUUAUUCUUGUUAAUUGAUUAGCUCAAUGUGUCUUUCGCUGAAAAAUUUUUACCUCAAGCGUGUCACAUGCAUAGCUAGUUACAUGCAUGAUGAACCUUCACAGUGCACAUUGCCACCAUUCAAAAAGAAAACUUUUACCAAAUAUACAUAGUACAAGGCCAACAAAAAUGUCAGGUAUUGUCAUCAUAAGAUAUGGUUAUUUCAUUAUUUGUGAUCUCCAGAUAGUACAUACAGUAAGAAAUAUAUAUGUAGGACACAACCCAGAAGCAUGCUCAUUUCAGAGAGUAUCUCAGGCAUCAUAGUCGAUGGCUACUGUUCCAACUUUAAUCUCUCCAGCCGAUUCCUUCCAUCACGCUUUUGAUUAAAAAACUGCAUCAUGAAAUCAUUGUAACUGAUUGAUCUGUAAUUCACUUUACCAUCUUUCACAAACUCAGGCAGAGGGCUCAGCAGCAGAUCAUCGCGCGGAUAGUGGAAUAGUGCCGUUGAAAUCCGCUCCUUAUUUGGAUGUAUCAUGGCCCUGUGCUCAACACUUUUGAAUUUUCCGUUACUCAGGAUCUGCAGAUGCUAAUAGUACAUGACUCACUCAAAUCAGCACAAAGGUGGUGAAACAGAAGUAGGACUCACCCAAAAGAUGAAAAAAAAAUGAAGUUAGAACUGUUUGUUUGGUGCUUUGACAAGUAACGGCAUAGUUUGUUCGGUCAUUACCUCAAGUGUGUCCCCUAUGUUGACGAUGAAUGCGCCACUCAGAGCAUCCACGGAGAACCACUUGCCAUCCCUCUUGAUCUGCAGACCCUGAACAUCGUUCACCUGGAGCAGCAGCGUCAGGCCAACCACAUC
rnacentral:lncRNA from 1 species